rnacentral:rRNA from 1 species
AUGAACGCUGGCGGCGUGCCUAAUACAUGCAAGUCGAACGCUUCACUUCGGUGAAGAGUGGCGAACGGGUGAGUAAUACAUAAGUAACCUGGCAUCUACAGGGGGAUAACUGAUGGAAACGUCAGCUAAGACCGCAUAGGUGUAGAGAUCGCAUGAACUCUAUAUGAAAAGUGCUACGGGACUGGUAGAUGAUGGACUUAUGGCGCAUUAGCUUGUUGGUAGGGUAACGGCCUACCAAGGCGACGAUGCGUAGCCGACCUGAGAGGGUGACCGGCCACACUGGGACUGAGACACGGCCCAGACUCCUACGGGAGGCAGCAGUAGGGAAUUUUCGGCAAUGGGGGAAACCCUGACCGAGCAACGCCGCGUGAAGGAAGAAGUAAUUCGUUAUGUAAACUUCUGUCAUAGAGGAAGAACGGUGGAUAUAGGGAAUGAUAUCCAAGUGACGGUACUCUAUAAGAAAGCCACGGCUAACUACGUGCCAGCAGCCGCGGUAAUACGUAGGUGGCGAGCGUUAUCCGGAAUUAUUGGGCGUAAAGAGGGAGCAGGCGGCACUAAGGGUCUGUGGUGAAAGAUCGAAGCUUAACUUCGGUAAGCCAUGGAAACCGUAGAGCUAGAGUGUGUGAGAGGAUCGUGGAAUUCCAUGUGUAGCGGUGAAAUGCGUAGAUAUAUGGAGGAACACCAGUGGCGAAGGCGACGAUCUGGCGCAUAACUGACGCUCAGUCCCGAAAGCGUGGGGAGCAAAUAGGAUUAGAUACCCUAGUAGUCCACGCCGUAAACGAUGAGUACUAAGUGUUGGGUGUCAAAGCUCAGUGCUGCAGUUAACGCAAUAAGUACUCCGCCUGAGUAGUACGUUCGCAAGAAUGAAACUCAAAGGAAUUGACGGGGGCCCGCACAAGCAGUGGAGUAUGUGGUUUAAUUCGACGCAACGCGAAGAACCUUACCGGAGCUUGACAUCCACAGAAGGCCGAGUAAUGUUGGCUGUGCCCUUCGGGGAACUGUGAGACAGGUGGUGCAUGGUUGUCGUCAGCUCGUGUCGUGAGAUGUUGGGUUAAGUCCCGCAACGAGCGCAACCCCUGUUGCCAGUUGCCAGCAUUAAGUUGGGGACUCUGGCGAGACUGCCGGUGACAAGCCGGAGGAAGGCGGGGAUGACGUCAAAUCAUCAUGCCCCUUAUGACCUGGGCUACACACGUGCUACAAUGGACAGAGCAGAGGGAAGCGAAGCCGCGAGGUGGAGCGAAACCCAUAAAACUGUUCUCAGUUCGGACUGCAGUCUGCAACUCGACUGCACGAAGAUGGAAUCGCUAGUAAUCGCGAAUCAGCAUGUCGCGGUGAAUACGUUCUCGGGCCUUGUACACACCGCCCGUCACACCAUGAGAGUCGGUAACACCCGAAGCCGGUGGCCUAACCGCAAGGAAGGAGCUGUCUAAGGUGGGACUGAUGAUUGGGGUG